rnacentral:lncRNA from 1 species
CGGCAGCGUCAUUAYCUUUUAGAUCUCUCAUGCUCUAGUUCCUCUGUAAAACAUCGGUGUGAAGUGUCAGCAGUCCUCUUAAUCCAUUCUGUUUAUGAUUAAUAAAAGAUAGGGUAUAACACUUUAGCRAGCAACACUUUAGCACCAGUCGUUACUGUGGGAAACUCUUAGCUGAGUUAUUUCUGCGAACACUUAUCUUUCUUUAAAACACAGGUUUUAUGCCUUGUUCCUAUUYUCAAGUGCUGGUUUUCAUAAAAGUCUUUGCAGGGCUAAACAAAUGCUAGUUUAAACUCUAACUUCUGUAUUUAUUCAGAACUAAAGAUUUGUGGCAAGCCUAGCAKUUUUAGUAGCAAGUAUACAUCUUUCCUUAAAAUCAACAGAUUCCACUUGGCUGCUGUAUGAGAACUGAGCUGGCCCGAGCUGAGCUGGGAUUGGGAGUGGCUUGCUUGGACCUUGGCUGCAUCAUCCAGAGAUGGAAAUCUCCAGUGUGAAACAGCUGAUGUCUUGAAGUGUCUGGUGAAUGAAACACGAAGGCUUCUGACGCAGUUACGGUGUUACACCAGUUGUUUCRUCUGUCUACUUCCAGCUCUGCCUACGUGAAGGAGGCCUUCUUGGUAUCUGGAAGCGACCGUCUACUCAUCUGCCCCUGCUCCGUGCAUCUCGCAGACCUGGAGAAGGGAAGGUCAGGACGCUUUGUUGGUAUCUGCCUGAAGAUCAUGUUUUUCUCCAGUGUAUCUGUGGGAAUGUUCAGCAUGAUCGCGAACGGAGGAGGCUGUCUCUCAGCAAGGGUAUCCUCCUUGAGACGCUUCAUCUAGGAUUUUAAGCAGCAUGGUGCAGCACCCUGGUUUGAGGAAAAUAUCUGCUUUAAUUAUUAGGUAGGUAGUAAUAUUUCGGAAUAAAACAAACUUCAAAUUUAACUACRUAAGUAAC